rnacentral:rRNA from 1 species
AGUGAACGCUGGCGGUAGGCCUAACACAUGCAAGUCGAACGGCAGCACAGUAAGAGCUUGCUCUUACGGGUGGCGAGUGGCGGACGGGUGAGGAAUACAUCGGCAUCUACUUUUUCGUGGGGGAUAACGUAGGGAAACUUACGCUAAUACCGCAUACGACCUACGGGUGAAAGCAGGGGAUCUUCGGACCUUGCGCGAUUGAAUGAGCCGAUGUCGGAUUAGCUAGUUGGCGGGGUAAAGGCCCACCAAGGCGACGAUCCGUAGCUGGUCUGAGAGGAUGAUCAGCCACACUGGAACUGAGACACGGUCCAGACUCCUACGGGAGGCAGCAGUGGGGAAUAUUGGACAAUGGGCGCAAGCCUGACCCAGCCAUACCGCGUGGGUGAAGAAGGCCUUCGGGUUGUAAAGCCCUUUUGUUGGGAAAGAAAAGCAGCAGGUUAAUACCCCGCUGUUCUGACGGUACCCAAAGAAUAAGCACCGGCUAACUUCGUG